rnacentral:rRNA from 1 species
GACGAACGCUGGCGGCGUGCUUAACACAUGCAAGUCGAACGAAGUGGCGAACGGGUGAGUAAUACGUGAGUAACCUGCCCUCCUUUUUGGGAUAAGCCUUGGAAACGGGGUCUAAUACCGAAUAAAGGGGGAUGGGCUCGUGGCCUAUCAGCUUGUUGGGGGGGUGAUGGCCUACCAAGGCGGUGACGGGUAGCCGGCCUGAGAGGGUGACCUGCUAAAUUGGGACUGGCAGAGAGGCCAGCGGCCGACGGGAGGGGGCAGUGGGGGAUAUUGCGCAAAGGGCGAAAGCAGGCUGGCGCGGCGACGGGUGGGGGAUGUAGGCUUUCGGGUUGUAAACAUCUGUCGCGAUCGAACGGGUAGGUGGAGAAGAAGCGCCGGCUAACUACGUGCCAGCAGCCGCGGUAAUUC